rnacentral:rRNA from 1 species
AAUCAACGCUGGCGGCGUGCCUAACACAUGCAAGUCGAACGAGAACGGUUCCUUCGGGGACUCAGUAAAGUGGCGAACGGGUGAGUAACGCGUGGAUAAUCUGCCCUCAAGUGGGGGAUAACUCGGGGAAAACCCGGGCUAAUACCGCAUAAGCCCUACGGGGGAAAAGUAUUUAUAUUGCUUGAGGAGGAGUCCGCGUCCGAUUAGCUGGUUGGUGAGGUAAGAGCUCACCAAGGCGACGAUUGGUAGCCGGUCUGAGAGGACGGACGGCCACACUGGAACUGAGACACGGUCCAGACUCCUACGGGAGGCAGCAGUGGGGAAUUUUUGGGCAAUGGGGGAAACCCUGACCCAGCAACGCCGCGUGGAGGAAGAAGGUUUUUCGGAUCGUAAACUCCUGUCCGGAGGGACGAAGCAAGUGACGGUACCUCUGGAGGAAGCCCCGGCUAACUCCGUG